UGGGCAGUGUUAGACCAAGCGCGACGAAGAGUGUAAUCCCGCUGCCAUGUGCCUUUCCACGCGGCAGUACCCUGUAAGCACCAGGGGAUAAUGUCAGCUUGUAAAACUUUAAGAGCUCCUAACCUCAGCCAGACUUUCUCUGGUGCGGACGGCUCAGGGAUGGCGCUGUGUGGCGGGAAGUUCCCGCGAGCUGCAGCUGCCACUGCUCCGACUGCCUGCGUGCAGGGCGGGCACGUGUAGCCGCGUACCGGCGCUGCAUAUAGCGUGCUCUUUUCAUGUGGGAUCUUUUAACCAUAUCCGAUGUUCCUGGCCAGGACAUCUCUCUCUCUCUGUCAUUCUCUCUCUCUCCCUCUCUCUCUAUUUUACGUGGUUUGGCACUGAAACCAGCACAGGAGUGGGAAUAUGUGCUGCACUUAAUAUAACUGGACAGAAAUAUUAAACGGAACUCAGGAAUUUG